GGUCAAGCUACAAAGGGCUGACGGUGGAUACCUAGGCACA
rnacentral:rRNA from 3 species